AUGUGGGCAUGGACAAGCGAUUGUUUUCAGUUCUUGAUUGAUCGUAUUAUUAUUAAGAUUAGUGGUUGGAAAGAAAAGUUGUUAUCGGCGGGUGGGAAGAAAAUUUUGCUUAAGUCUUUAGUCCAAGCUAUCCCAACAUAUGCAAUGUCCGUCUUCAAAAUUCCUAAAAAGAUUUGCAAAGAAAUCAUAGACGCGAUAUCGCAAUUUUGGUGGGGUGAUGAGGACAAUCAUAAAAUGAUGCACUGGAUGGCAUGGUGAAAGUUGUGUGUUCCAAAAGACCAAGGAGGAAUGAGCUUCCGUGAUAUACAUUGUUUUAACCUAGCUUUAUUAGCGAAGCAAGCGUGACGUCUCGUGGAUAAUCCUGAAUCGUUAUGUGCAACAAUCCUAAGAGCCAAAGGUGAUUUGAUGAGCGCAAUAUUAAAAAGGGCGCCUCCUUUACUUGGCAAAGCAUUAUGGCAGGAGUGGACUCUCUCAAGAACGGCUAUAUAUGAAGAGCGGGAACAUGCGAAAAUAUUGACAUAUGGAGAGAUGCAUGGAUCCCAAAUUAUGCAGACAGGAAAAUUAUUACACCUACAAGGGGGAAUCAACUGA
rnacentral:rRNA from 1 species